CCUACGGGAGGCUGCAGUAGGGAAUAUUGCUCAAUGGGGGAAACCCUGAUGCAGCAACGCCGCGUGGACGAUGAAGGUUUUCGGAUUGUAAACCCCUUUUGUUAGAGAAGAUAAUGACGGUAUCUAACGAAUAAGCACCGGCUAACUCCGUGCCAGCAGCCGCGGUAAUACGGAGGGGGCAAGCGUUACUCGGAAUCACUGGGCGUAAAGGGCGCGUAGGCGGGAUGGCAAGUCAGAUGUGAAAUCCUAGGGCUCAACCAUAGCACUGCAUUUGAAACUGUUAUUCUAGAGUAUGGGAGAGGUAGGUGGAAUUCUUGGUGUAGGGGUAAAAUGCGUAGAGAUCAAGAGGAACACUCAUUGCGAAGGCGACCUGCUAGAACAUAACUGACGCUGAGGCGCGAAAGCGUGGGGAGCAAACAGGAUUAGAUACCCGUGUAGUC
rnacentral:rRNA from 1 species